rnacentral:tRNA from 1 species
GUGGCUGUAGCUCAAGGGUAGAGUACCGGAUUGUGAUUCCGGGUGUUGUGGGUUCGAGUCCCAUCAGCCACC